rnacentral:tRNA from 1 species
GCCCGGGUGUCGAAAUUGGUAUCCGAGCUUGACUUAAAAUCAAGUGGGAGAAAUCCCGUGAGGGUUCGAGUCCCUCCCCGGGCA